GUUUUCUCUCGUCUUUUUCUUCCAUAAAUCAAAACGAUGAGAGAUAAAAUCAAACCAUACUAUCACAAUGAAGAUCUUACAUCGGGAUUACAUUCGCGGCAGCAUUGGCAGCAUCAAGGAGAGAGUUUUUUUAGUAUAGUUAUCAAUGUAGUUUUUUAUUUUUGGGAAGUGAAGAAUUGCAUUUGUAGACUUGUAAAUAAAUGGUGAUCAAGCAAGAUAAUUUGGUCUUUUCUUGAUCCUUUUUUAUUUUAUUCGUGUUGUGCAAAGUUAAAGUUACAAGCAGUUGCGUGCUAGCGGGCUGGUUAAGAGCUGCUAGAGGAUUGUCGGAGGGUUGUUAGGUGCAGUUAUGAUUCAAAUCUCAAGUUGAAGUUGUACCUGAUAUGCUUGCUGAAUAUAUUUAUAACCCGUGGAUGCGAAGGAAUUGGAAAUUUUAUCCCAAGGUUGCAAAACUCCUGAUGUAAGCUUCAACAAGAUAUGUUAAAGGUAGCAUGUAUAUCUAGUGGCCAUCAAGUGCAAAUAAUGCUUAAUUGUUAGCUCUUGAGGUGUAAAACAACUUCUUGUUGUUUGUUCUUUUUGCUUUUGUGGCUUUGGGAUUGUUAUAUAUUGUUAGGCUUAUUUAACAGUUAAGUAUGAUAACCGCUCUAUAUCCCUUCUCCAUUUAUUGUUUUUAAGGAGGGUAUAUAAAGCGCCUUUCUUAAACCAUUGUAAUUUAUGACUAGGCAUAUAAAGCGCCUCUUCCAACUUCUUUAUAAACUUUAUAAAGCGUUGAGCAGAAGAUCGCCUCUAAAGCACUUUAUAAAGUCUAUUCUAACAA